rnacentral:lncRNA from 1 species
ACUACCCAUAAGAUGAAGGAAGUAGAAACGGACAGUGAAAAAGUUGAAACACCAAGUCAAGCAAUUGAAACCGUCAAGGUGGAGAAUGCCCUUGUUGCUGAGAAAGAGAAAAGGCUGUCCAUUUCCUCUUAUAAACAAGCCCUGGAAGUGGUGAAGAACAGAGAGGCCCGAGGCUGGGGAAGGAUCAUUGAUAUCGUGGUAAAAGCAGACAUGUUUGGGGUCGGUUAUCAGCCAGAUCAAAG